GCCAGAGGUAUUGUAACAUGAAGCAUUGGCCCCUGAAGGGAUUCCGGCUAGUGCUCGUGUAACACUCCCUCCGGCU
rfam:Nicotiana attenuata strain TT chromosome 2, whole genome shotgun sequence.